CUAGACAUUUGCCUAUGCCUACUUAAAUUGAAACGAUACAGAGAAGAUCAUCAUACAUACAGCACUAUAAUGACCCAUAAAAGCGUGAAGUUUCCCACAUUUUU